GGGCGAUUAGCUCAGCUGGUUAGAGCACCUGCUCGACAAGCAGGGGGUCACUAGUUCGAAUCUAGUAUCGCCCACCA
rnacentral:tRNA from 1 species